CUAGGGACUUCCUGUGAGGAGGGUUAGAGGCAGUUGGAGGUUGAAGCUUGGUUUUGGAGGUGUCCCGAGGACUGCUUUCCUUCAGAAUGGUCAUCAUGACUUCACUUUUGGCUCUCAAAGGAACAUGAGGAACAGAAAAAACUAAUUACCACACUGCCAAAAGCUGGAGUUAAUGAGAAGUCAGAAGUCCGCAACAUUUGCAGAAAGGAUUGCAUCUCCACAGAGGUUGCUGCCCAGGAUGAUGACUCUAGGACCUGGACUGGAAACAUGACCAAUAAUCCUGGAGGCAUUAUUCCCAAAGCUAUUGGGCACACAUGCCUAUUGGUGGCAAUGGAUCAAGGGUUGAUGCCAGUGACAGUGAGGAAGAUUGGUCCCCUUUC
rnacentral:lncRNA from 1 species